AACGAACGCUGGCGGCAGGCUUAACACAUGCAAGUCGAGCGCUGUAGCAAUACAGAGCGGCAGACGGGUGAGUAACGCGUGGGGAUGUACCCAGAGGUACGGAACAACGCCGGGAAACUGGCGCUAAUACCGUAUGUGACCGAGAGGUGAAAGAUUUAUCGCCUUUGGAUCAACCCGCGUCAGAUUAGCUAGUUGGUGUGGUAAUGGCGCACCAAGGCGACGAUCUGUAGCUGGUCUGAGAGGAUGAUCAGCCACAUUGGGACUGAGACACGGCCCAAACUCCUACGGGAGGCAGCAGUGGGGAAUAUUGGACAAUGGGCGCAAGCCUGAUCCAGCCAUGCCGCGUGAGUGAUGACGGCCUUAGGGUUGUAAAGCUCUUUCGCUCGCGACGAUAAUGACGGUAGCGAGAGAAGAAGCCCCGGCUAACUUCGUGCCAGCCGCCGCCGUAACAC
rnacentral:rRNA from 1 species